CCUACGGGAGGCAGCAGUGGGGAAUAUUGCACAAUGGGGGAAACCCUGAUGCAGCGACGCCGCGUGAGUGAAGAAGUAUUUCGGUACGUAAAGAUCUAUCAGCAGGGAAGAAAAUGACGGUACCUGACUCAGAAGCCCCGGUUAAUUACGUGCCAGCAGCCGCGGUAAUACGUAGGGGGCAAGCGUUAUACGGAUUUACUGGGUGUAAAGGGAGCGUAGUCGGGAGCGCAAGUCUGAAGGUAAAUCCAAUGGCUUAACCAUGGAACUGCUGUGGAAACUGUGCAGCUGGAGUGCAGGAGAGGUAAGCGGAAUGCCUAGUGUAGCGGUGAAAUGCGUAGAUAUUAGGAGGAACACCAGUGGCGAAGGCAGCUUACUGGACUGUAACUGACGUUGAGGCUCGAAAGCGUGGGGAUCAAACAGGAUUAGAUACCCGUGUAGUC
rnacentral:rRNA from 1 species